rnacentral:tRNA from 1 species
UGGCUCAAUGGUAGAGCGCUUGCCUUACAUGCCUGAGGCCCUGGGUUCGAUUCCCCAG